UACAGAGGUGGCAAGCGUUGUUCGGAAUUACUGGGCGUAAAGGGCGCGUAGGCGGCCUUGUAAGUCUCGUGUGAAAGCCCUCGGCUUAACUGAGGAUCUGCACGGGAUACUGCGAGGCUUGAGUUCGGGAGAGGAAAGCGGGAUUCCGGGUGUAGCGGUGAAAUGCGUAGAUAUCCGGAGGAACACCAGUGGCGAAGGCGGCUUUCUGGACCGACACUGACGCUGAUGCGCGAAAGCUAGGGGAGCAAACGGG
rnacentral:rRNA from 1 species